AUGGAGAGUUUGAUCCUGGCUCAGGAUGAACGCUAGCGGCAGGCCUAAUACAUGCAAGUCGAACGGUAACAGUUCUUUCGAGAAGCUGACGAGUGGCGCACGGGUGCGUAACGCGUAUGCAACCUACCCUAUACAGGGGGAUAGCCCAGAGAAAUUUGGAUUAAUACCCCAUAGUACUAUUUGAUGGCAUCUGAUGAUAGUUAAAGAUUUAUUGGUAUAGGAUGGGCAUGCGUUAGAUUAGUUAGUUGGUGAGGUAACGGCUCACCAAGGCGACGAUCUAUAGGGGUUCUGAGAGGAUGAUCCCCCACACUGGCACUGAGAUACGGGCCAGACUCCUACGGGAGGCAGCAGUGGGGAAUAUUGGACAAUGGGGGCAACCCUGAUCCAGCCAUGCCGCGUGAGUGAUGAAGGCCCUAGGGUUGUAAAGCUCUUUCAGCGAGGAGGAUAAUGACGUUACUCGCAGAAGAAGCCCCGGCUAACUUCGUGCCAGCAGCCGCGGUAAUACGAAGGGGGCUAGCGUUGUUCGGAAUCACUGGGCGUAAAGCGCACGUAGGCGGAUUGGUCAGUUAGGGGUGAAAUCCCAGAGCUCAACUCUGGAACUGCCUUUAAUACUGCCAGUCUUGAGUCCGAGAGAGGUGAGUGGAACUCCGAGUGUAGAGGUGAAAUUCGUAGAUAUUGGAAAGA
rnacentral:rRNA from 1 species